UACGAAGGGGGCUAGCGUUGCUCGGAAUCACUGGGCGUAAAGGGCGCGUAGGCGGCCUGCUAAGUAGAGGGUGAAAUCCUGCGGCUCAACCGCAGGGCUGCCUUCUAAACUGUCAGGCUGGAGCACGGUAGAGGCAGAUGGAAUUCCCGGUGUAGCGGUGGAAUGCGUAGAGAUCGGGAAGAACACCAGUGGCGAAGGCGGUCUGCUGGGCCGUUGCUGACGCUGAGGCGCGACAGCGUGGGGAGCAAACAGG
rnacentral:rRNA from 1 species